rnacentral:rRNA from 1 species
UGGGGAAUAUUGGACAAUGGGGGAAACCCUGAUCCAGCAAUGCCGCGUGAGUGAAGAAGGCCUUAGGGUUGUAAAGCUCUUUCGCCCGCGAAGAUAAUGACGGUAGCGGGAGAAGAAGCCCCGGCUAACUCCGUGCCAGCAGCCGCGGUAGUACGGAGGGGGCUAGCGUUGUUCGGAAUUACUGGGCGUAAAGCGUACGUAGGCGGAUGCGCAAGUUGGGGGUGAAAUCCCGGGGCUUAACCUCGGAAUUGCCCUCAAAACUGCACGUCUUGAGACCGAGAGAGGUAAGGGGAAUUCCUAGUGUAGAGGUGAAAUUCGUAGAUAUUAGGAAGAACACCAGUGGCGAAGGCGCCUUACUGGCUCGGUACUGACGCUGAGGUACGAAAGCGUGGGGAGCAAACA